CCAGAGCUGCAGAGCACAGAGGACGAGUCAGACUAGGAGCCUGCGCAGCAGCCACUCCAGGAGCCUGGACCCCAAGGGCCCUGUGGGACCUGCAGAGGUGAUCCCAACAUGCAGGCAAAUUUGGGAAGCAGUGUUGCGGAUGCUGGUCCCAGCUACUGGGAAACAAGGUAAGAUGAGGCCCCUGAGAUGAGGUUCCAGCCUCAAUUCCGCCAUUCUCCUCCUACAGAGCCACACUAGGUAUGUCAUUCUACCCCCUUGGACCUCAGUAUACUUAUCAAUAAAUGUGUGGGUUCAACACCACAUCCAAGAAUCUUUCCAUCUCUAAAGAUUCUAUAAAUAUCAGUAAUUUAGAAAAUUGGCAAGACUUUCUAGGUAGCUGCCUGUGACAUGGAGUCCGACGAGGCAUGGUCUUCCUGAAGCCACCAUGGCUGGUGAACCUUGGGCCUGUUUCCCAACUUCCUUUGAAAGGAUUUAUAAAAGUGUGGGGUGAAGACCAAGGGUGUCAGACUCCCCCAUAGUUCUUGUUUAAAAUGUACUGAAUACACCAGACUCUGGGGGAUGACGGUAGGUAAUGGAGGGUAGCUUCAGGAACCUAUAAUUUAAAAAGCUCCACAAAUGGAUUUUUCUGUCCUCUGAAGUUUGAGAACAUAAUAAAUACCAGCUGGCCACAAGCAAGGACCUUUUCAAACUUUCCUGGCCCUGGCCUUCAGUCACUUGGUGGUUCCUGUCUCAGCACCAAAGGCACCGGGAAGGAUCCAAGUGACUGCCUCUCACCUGUAAUCUAGCCAAGAUACUGGCUUUCUUGGAGUUGGAGGAGUAGCUCCUGGAGCAGGAGACGCUGCAGAACCUCUUGGUCUUGGAGAAGAAGGCUUCCCUUGUACCCACGAUACCACACAUCUCACAGACAGCUGGGAAGAGAACUUAGCACAUGACUCACCCAAUAUGGCCACCUCAAAGCAAACAAAGUGAUGGGCCCUUCAAAACCUGGGGCACUGCAUUAACCAGGUGAGCCCCUGCCCCCACAAAGGCUAAUGGAAUAAGAGGAGGAAUGGGAGGCACUGGUGUGUAUAUCCUGAAUCUACCUGAAUGAAGUGCUGCUGCUUGGCCUCCCUUGGCUACAGAUGUCAACAGAGGGGCUGAUGGAAAUCCAUGAGGACGACUGGGGGAACAGGGGACACUCUGAAGGCACCUGGCUCAGAACCACUGCCAUCCAAGGAGCGAGGAGUCCCAGGGCUGAGCAAAUGCAGCGGGGAGGUCGG